GAGGGUAUAGUUCAGUGGUAGAGUGCAUGCUUAGCAUGCACGAAGUCCUGGGUUCAAUCCCCAGUACCUACA
rnacentral:tRNA from 1 species